CGAAGGGGGCUAGCGUUGCUCGGAAUUACUGGGCGUAAAGGGCGCGUAGGCGGACAGUUUAGUCAGAGGUAAAAGCCCAGGGCUCAACCUUGGAACUGCCUUUGAUACUGACUGUCUUGAGUUCGGGAGAGGUGAGUGGAAUGCCGAGUGUAGAGGUGAAAUUCGUAGAUAUUCGGCGGAACACCAGUGGCGAAGGCGACUCACUGGCCCGAUACUGACGCUGAGGCGCGAAAGCGUGGGGAGCAAACAGGAUUAGAUACCCUGGUAGUCCACGCUGUAAACGAUGAGUGCUAGUUGUCGGCAUGCAUGCAUGUCGGUGACGCAGCUAACGCAUUAAGCACUCCGCCUGGGGAGUACGGUCGCAAGAUUAA
rnacentral:rRNA from 1 species